UACGUAGGGUGCGAGCGUUAAUCGGAAUUACUGGGCGUAAAGCGUGCGCAGGCGGCUCGCCAAGUCAGGUGUGAAAUCCCCGGGCUUAACCUGGGAAUUGCGCUUGAAACUAGCGGGCUUGAGUGUGGCAGAGGGGGGUGGAAUUCCACGUGUAGCAGUGAAAUGCGUAGAGAUGUGGAGGAACACCGAUGGCGAAGGCAGCCCCCUGGGCCGACACUGACGCUCAGGCACGAAAGCGUGGGGAGCAAACAGG
rnacentral:rRNA from 1 species